rnacentral:rRNA from 1 species
GACGAACGCUGGCGGCGUGCCUAAUACAUGCAAGUCGAACGCAGUGGGGACGGGUGAGUAACACGUGGGUAACCUCCCAUCAGAGGGGAUAACACUUGGAAACAGGUGCUAAACCGAUACUGAUGGAUGGACCCGCGGUGCAUUAGCUAGUUGGUGAGGUAACGGCCCACCAAGGCCACGAUGCAUAGGCGACCGGUGAGGGUGGUCUGCCACACAGGGGCUGAGACACGGCCCAGACUCCCACGGGUGGCAGCAGUAGGGAAUCUUCGGCAAUGGGCGCAAGGCUGACCGAGCAACGCCGCGUGAGUGAAAGAGGUUUUCGGAUCGUAAAACUCUGUUGUUAGAGAAGCGGUAUCUAACCGGAAAGCCACGGCUAACUACGUGCCAGCAGCCGCGGUAAAUC